UACGUAGGCAGCGAGCGUUGUUCGGAGUUACUGGGCGUAAAGGGUGUGUAGGCGGUUCUCUAAGUUUGGUGUGAAAUCUCCCGGCUCAACCGGGAGGGUGCGCCGAAAACUGGGGGACUAGAGUGCGGGGAGUGGGAGAGUAGAAUUCCUGGUGUAGCGGUGAAAUGCGUAGAUAUCAGGAGGAAUACCGGUGGUGUAGACGGCUCUCUGGACCGCAACUGACGCUGAGACACGAAAGCGUGGGUAGCAAACAGG
rnacentral:rRNA from 1 species